rnacentral:rRNA from 1 species
UACGUAGGGCGCAAGCGUUAUCCGGAAUUACUGGGCGUAAAGCGCACGUAGGCGGAUAUUUAAGUCAGGGGUGAAAUCCCAGAGCUCAACUCUGGAACUGCCUUGAUACUGGGUAUCUCGAGUAUGGAAGAGGUGAGUGGAAUUCCGAGUGUAGAGGUGAAAUUCGUAGAUAUUCGGAGGAACACCAGUGGCGAAGGCGGCUCACUGGUCCAUUACUGACGCUGAGGUGCGAAAGCGUGGGGAGCAAACAGG